UGCGCUAUGUGAACGCUGUGGAGGUCGGCAGAGGGAGACAAUGUCCAUAACUUCGGUUAACUUCGCUUAUAUCACCUGGUUUAGGACUUAUUUCAGUCUGCAGAAGACAGAGAGAACCAGGAAACUGUCCUCGGACCCUGGGAGGAGUAGAUGUCUCCUGCCUGCCACAGCUGAAGUUGGACUGUUGCAGCAUCCAGCCUGCACGCCACUUACAGCCUUUUCUCACCAUCCCUCGCCUUCACCAUUCUUCAGAUGACAUUCCCAUGGACUUCUCCAAAUGCUCCUGAAAAAUGCUGCUGAUGCUUGUGAAGAGUCGAGCCCAUGGCUCUUUUUUGGCGGACCCUGAACAACACAAAAGUCACCGGAUCCCCAGAGAGCAUUUCUCACAACUUUGCAAACACUCCGUGUUUUGAUGUGCCGGUUUUUUGAUGACGCAGUACGUUUCAGUGAUCAAGGGCAGUUCAGAAGAGGACAGUAAAGAUCACAAACCAAAGGAAAAGAGGAAAUGAAGUGGCCAACACCCGGUGACAGAACCAUGAGGGAGAUCCUAUCAAGGUGGUUCACACUUCGAGCCAAGUGGAGAGAGAAACGGAGGACAGAUGUCCCUCACAAGCUCCAAGGCAGCACUCGACGCAUCAGAAAGGAUUGAAGAUGCCCAGCAAGCCAUUUAAACAGUUUUUAUGUAUGCUAACUGGUGAUGACUGAGGAGAUGAAGAAAUAAUCCAGCAAUCUUCUGUAUUCUUUAAAGAGAAAGAACUUUCUUGAAUGUCACAUUUUCCAGCGAGGGAGGCAAUUUAUUACCCGUAUGCAGAUGAACCCAGCUAAUGGAAACAACACCACAGGACCUAAAAUCAUACUGAUUCAUUGAGAGAAAUGUCAGGGUCUAAAAGACACUGCAGUGGCUCAAACACUGAGCUGAAUAUAAAUGACUGGAUUGUCAUAAUAAUCUAGAUCUUUUUUUGAGUGGGGUUUUUUCCCCCCAGUAUGACUGUUGUUUACUAGACAGAAAACACAAUGAUCACAGAGCAAAAAUGGAUAACGAGACUGCUUCACGCUGUAAGCCUGAGGCCACUCUAAGCCACUGGGUGGUGCAGUGCUGAAAACAACCCAUUAGCUGCUAAAUGAGUGACCUAACGCAAAAAAAAAAAAAAAAAAAUCUAACAGAGCCAGCACUGAAAUGAUGAAAACAGCAUUUGUUCACAUUAGCAGAAACAUCACCGGUCACUCUCACAUGCAGUUUUCAUUCUUUCGUCUUUCAUCUUCUGUCACUUUAUCUCAUUAAAGUUCUUGUUCAUGGCGUUGAAAUUUGGCACGGAUGUGUCACUUGCUUGCAGGUGUACUCUAUAAAAACAGCAGAUUCAUAUAUCUUCUUUAUACGUUAGGUAUCUAUAUGGAGACUGCUGAGAAAGUUGUAUCAGGAGUUCUUCAUUUCAGCAGACAUUUUAUCAGGAAGCAAUAAAAAAAGUUUCAAUAAAAAAAGUUUAUAUGAUACCAAUGCAAUAUACAGUUGUCGUCCCACUCGACGCAUCCAUCCGUCCUCAACGUCCAAUAUUUCUCUCAUCCCAUUCUGUUGUCGUGGUCGUUUUAGGCAUUUGAACAAGCAACCAGUGCUGUUGUUUCUCUGCUGAACACAUUCUCCUUACAGGACUAAGUGUCACCUUUUACCAAA